CUUUGUCUCACUUCAGCCAGAGCGCGGGGUUGGGGCUUCAUUGCCUUGUGUCCUCUGCUCCGGGAGGCUUCGGUGAUUCUGCCACUCCCUCCGUCGCUGUGUGACCUGCUGGCAUUGAAUGAUUUAUAGCUAAGACUCCAGGACACCCCUGAAGCCGAGAAAUGGAACUCUUAACAUUCAGGGAUGUGGCCAUAGAAUUCUCUCCAGAAGAGUGGAAAUGCCUGGACCCUGCCCAGCAGAAUUUAUAUAGAGAUGUGAUGUUGGAGAACUACAGAAACCUGGUCUCCCUGGUGUUACUAUCUCUAACCAGACCUGGUCACCUGUCUGGAGCAAAGAAAAGAGCCUUACAAUUUGAAGAUAGUUGAGACGGUAGCCAAACCCCCAA
rnacentral:sRNA from 1 species